UGAACGCUAGCGGCAGGCCUAACACAUGCAAGUCGAGGGGCAUCGGGAUUGAAGCUUGCUUCAAUUGCCGGCGACCGGCGCACGGGUGCGUAACGCGUAUGUAACCUACCUAUAACAGGGGCAUAACACUGAGAAAUUGGUACUAAUUCCCCAUAAUAUUCGGAGAGGCAUCUCUCCGGGUUGAAAACUCCGGUGGUUAUAGAUGGACAUGCGUUGUAUUAGCUAGUUGGUGAGGUAACGGCUCACCAAGGCAACGAUACAUAGGGGGACUGAGAGGUUAACCCCCCACACUGGUACUGAGACACGGACCAGACUCCUACGGGAGGCAGCAGUGAGGAAUAUUGGUCAAUGGACGCAAGUCUGAACCAGCCAUGCCGCGUGCAGGAAGACGGCUCUAUGAGUUGUAAACUGCUUUUGUACGAGGGUAAACUCACCUACGUGUAGGUGACUGAAAGUAUCGUACGAAUAAGGAUCGGCUAACUCCGUGCCAGCAGCCGCGGUAAUACGGAGGAUUCAAGCGUUAUCCGGAUUUAUUGGGUUUAAAGGGUGCGUAGGCGGUUUGAUAAGUUAGAGGUGAAAUCCCGGGGCUUAACUCCGGAACUGCCUCUAAUACUGUUAGACUAGAGAGUAGUUGCGGUAGGCGGAAUGUAUGGUGUAGCGGUGAAAUGCUUAGAGAUCAUACAGAACACCGAUUGCGAAGGCAGCUUACCAAACUAUAUCUGACGUUGAGGCACGAAAGCGUGGGGAGCAAACAGGAUUAGAUACCCUGGUAGUCCACGCAGUAAACGAUGAUAACUCGUUGUCGGCGAUACACAGUCGGUGACUAAGCGAAAGCGAUAAGUUAUCCACCUGGGGAGUACGUUCGCAAGAAUGAAACUCAAAGGAAUUGACG
rnacentral:rRNA from 1 species